AAUAUGGCGCAAUGGUGGAAACCCUGACGCAGAGACGCCGCGUGAACGAUAAAGGCCUUCGGGACGUAAAGUUCUGUCCUCAGGGAAGACUAAAUGACGGUACCUAAGGAGGAAGCCUCGGCUAACUACGUGACAUAGGCCGCGGUAAUACGUAGGGGGCAAGCGUUGUCCGGAAGUAUUGGGCGUAAAGGGUGCGUAGGCGGCCUUUUAAGUCAGAUGUAAAAGACCACAGCUUAACUGUGGGAUUGCAUUUGAAACUGAAGGGCUUGAGUGUCGGAGAGGGUAGUGGAAUUCCCGGAGUAGCGGUGAAAUGCAUAGGUAUCGGGAGGAACACCAGUGGCGAAGGCGACUACCUGGACGACAACUGACGCUGAGGCACGAAAGCUAGGGGAGUAAAC
rnacentral:rRNA from 1 species